rnacentral:rRNA from 1 species
UGGGGAAUAUUGGGCAAUGGAGGAAACUCUGACCCAGCGACGCCGCGUGAGGGAUGAAGGCCUUCGGGUUGUAAACCUCUGUCAAGGGGAAAGAAGUGUACGAGGGCUAAUAUCCUUUGUACUUGACGGUACCCCUAAAGGAAGCACCGGCUAACUCCGUGCCAGCAGCCGCGGUAAUACGUAGGGUGCGAGCGUUAAUCGGAAUUACUGGGCGUAAAGCGUGCGCAGGCGGAUAUGUAAGUUAGAAGUGAAAUCCCCGGGCUCAACCUGGGAAUGGCUUUUAAGACUGCGUAUCUAGAGUUUGUCAGAGGGGGGUGGAAUUCCAAGUGUAGCAGUGAAAUGCGUAGAGAUUUGGAGGAACACCAAUGGCGAAGGCAACCCCCUGGGAUAAAACUGACGCUCAUGCACGAAAGCGUGGGUAGCAAACAGG